GCAAGUCGAGGGGUAACAUUGAGUGCUUGCAUUCAGAUGACGACCGGCGAACGGGUGCGUAACGCGUAUAGAAUCUGCCUUGUACAGGAGGAUAGCCUUUAGAAAUGAAGAUUAAUACUCCAUAAUACUGAGAUGUGGCAUCACAAUUUAGUUAAACAUUUAUGGGUACAAGAUGACUAUGCGUCCUAUUAGCUAGAUGGUAAGGUAACGGCUUACCAUGGCAACGAUAGGUAGGGGGUCUGAGAGGAUUAUC
rnacentral:rRNA from 1 species